rnacentral:rRNA from 1 species
AUGUUAUGGGUAAGAAAUCUUCUCUCUGAGUUAAAGGUAAUAAGGAAGGAUCCCCUAAGGUUAUGGUGUGAUAAUAAAUCAGCUAUCAGCAUUGCUAAUAAUCCAGUUCAGCAUGACAGAACGAAGCAUGUCGAGAUAGACCGCUUCUUCAUCAAGGAGAAGUUAGAUGAUGGCAUAAUCAGGAUAAGUUAUGUGAGCUCUAGAGAACAAGUGGCUGAUUGUUUAACUAAGGGUUUAAGUGUCAAGGAGUGUAAUUCUGCGUGUGACAAGAUGGGAAUGAUAGAUAUCUAUCACCCAUCUUGA